UACGUAGGGUGCGAGCGUUGUCCGGAAUUACUGGGCGUAAAGAGCCCGUAGGCGGUCUGUCGCGUCGGUCGUGAAAACUUGGGGCUUAACCCUGAGCUUGCGGUCGAUACGGGCAUGACUGGAGUUCGGUAGGGGAGACUGGAAUUCCUGGUGUAGCGGUGAAAUGCGCAGAUAUCAGGAGGAACACCGGUGGCGAAGGCGGGUCUCUGGGCCGAUACUGACGCUGAGGAGCGAAAGCGUGGGGGAGCGAACAGG
rnacentral:rRNA from 1 species